rnacentral:rRNA from 1 species
GAUGAAGGGCGUGCUAAUCUGCGAUAAGCGCCGGUAAGGUGAUAUGAACCGUUAUAACCGGCGAUACCCGAAUGGGGAAACCCAGUGUGACUCGUCACACUAUCAUUAACUGAAUCCAUAGGUUAAUGAGGCGAACCGGGGGAACUGAAACAUCUAAGUACCCCGAGGAAAAGAAAUCAACCGAGAUUCCCCCAGUAGCGGCGAGCGAACGGGGAGGAGCCCAGAGCCUGAAUCAGCAUGUGUGUUAGUGGAAGCGUCUGGAAAGGCGCGCGAUACAGGGUGACAGCCCCGUACACAAAAGCGCAUGUGCUGUGAGCUCGAUGAGUAGGGCGGGACACGUGGUAUCCUGUCUGAAUAUGGGGGGACCAUCCUCCAAGGCUAAAUACUCCUGACUGACCGAUAGUGAACCAGUACCGUGAGGGAAAGGCGAAAAGAACCCCGGCGAGGGGAGUGAAAAAGAACCUGAAACCGUGUACG